GUCUUUUUGAUGAUAAUUUAUUUAAAGUCUAAUCUGCUCACUGAAUUAAAAUUUAAAGAGCCGCAGUAUUUUGACUGUGCAAAGGUAGCAUAAUAAUUUGUUUUUUAAUUGAAAACUAGAAUGAAUGAUUGAACGAAAUAUAUUCUGUCUCAAUUUUAAUUUAAUAUAAAUUAAUUUUUUAGUUAAAAAGCUAAAAUUAAUUUAAAAGACGAGAAGACCCUAUAGAUUUUUAUAUAAAUGUGAAUUAAUUUAUAUGUGUAUAGAAAUAAAUAUAUUUAUUUUUAUUUAUAUUUUAUUGGGGUAAUAGAAAAAUAAAAUAAACUUUUAUUGAAUAAUAACAUAAAUUAAUGAAAAUUUGAUCCAAAUUUUUUGAUUAAAAGAUUAAAUUACCUUAGGGAUAACAGCGUAAUUUUAAUUUUAAGUUCUUAUUGAAAUUAAAGAUUGCGACCUCGAUGUUGGAUUAAGAAAAAUUUUAAAAGUAGAUUUUUAAAUUUUAGGUCUGUUCGACCUUUGAAAUCUU
rnacentral:rRNA from 2 species